rnacentral:lncRNA from 1 species
AGUUGGUACUCUGCUGGGUAGCCCACUGCAGAGAUUUUGGGGUUUGGAUUUUCUUAUUCAUCAUAUUUGCAGACUGUUCAUCCCCUCAGACGUUUUUCAUUGUGGCUUUACAAAUGUUACUCUCCAUUUUAGGUUUUGCCUGGAACAAUCAGUGACUAAGACUGAGGAAAAUGGAAAGCUUGAAAAUAAGGAAAAUACAACACUGAAGAAACAAGUGCUACUGGACUGA